rnacentral:misc_RNA from 1 species
UCUCCGUUGGUGAACCAGCGGAGGGAUCAUUACUGAGUUUACAACUCCCAAACCCAAUGUGAACCAUACCAAACUGUUGCCUCGGCGGGGUCACGCCCCGGGUGCGUCGCAGCCCCGGAACCAGGCGCCCGCCGUAGGGACCAACCAAACUCUUUCUGUAGUCCCCUCGCGGACGUUAUUUUUACAGCUCUGAGCAAAAAUUCAAAAUGAAUCAAAACUUUCAACAACGGAUCUCUUGGUUCUG